UACGUAGGGCGCGAGCGUUGUCCGGAAUCAUUGGGCGUAAAGAGCUCGUAGGCGGUUUGUCGCGUCUGCUGUGAAAACUCGGGGCUUAACCCCGGGCCUGCAGUGGGUACGGGCAGACUAGAGUGCGGUAGGGGAGACUGGAAUUCCUGGUGUAGCGGUGAAAUGCGCAGAUAUCAGGAGGAACACCGGUGGCGAAGGCGGGUCUCUGGGCCGUAACUGACGCUGAGGAGCGAAAGCGUGGGGAGCGAACAGG
rnacentral:rRNA from 1 species